CAGUAGCCACGGUAAUACGUAGGUGGCAAGCGUUGUCCGGAAUUAUUGGGCGUAAAGCGCGCGCAGGCGGAUAGGUCAGUCUGUCUUAAAAGUUCGGGGCUUAACCCCGUGAUGAGAUGGAAACUGCCAAUCUAGAGUAUCGGAGAGGAAAGUGGAAUUCCUAGUGUAGCGGUGAAAUGCGUAGAUAUUAGGAAGAACACCAGUGGCGAAGGCGACUUUCUGGACGAAAACUGACGCUGAGGCGCGAAAGCCAGGGGAGCGAACGGGAUUAGAUACCCCGGUAGUCCCUGUCUCUUAUACA
rnacentral:rRNA from 1 species